rnacentral:tRNA from 1 species
UGGCUCAGACAGUAAAGCGUCUGCCUGCAAUGCAGGAGAUCCGGGUUCGAUUCCUGG